CAGAGUUAUCUAAACUCCCAAACCCAUGUGAACUUACCUCUUGUUGCCUCGGCAGCGCCUACCCUGUAGCCAGUUACCCUGUAGCGAGUUACCCUGUGACGACCUACCCUGUAGCGACCUACCCUGUAGCGCCUGCCGGUGGACUACUAAACUCUUGUUAUUUUUAAGUAAUCUGAGCGUCUUAUUUUAAUAAGUCA
rnacentral:misc_RNA from 1 species